ensembl:snRNA U6 U6 spliceosomal RNA
GUGCUCAGUUUGGAAGCACAUAUACUAAAAUCAGAACAAUACUGAGAAGAUCAGCACAGCCCCUGUGCAAGGAUGACACACAAAUUCCUGAAACGUUCCAUAUUGAA